CCUACGGGGCGCAGCAGUGGGGAAUAUUGGACAAUGGGCGAAAGCCUGAUCCAGCCAUGCCGCGUGUGUGAAGAAGGCCUUCGGGUUGUAAAGCACUUUCAGUGGGGAAGAAAGCCUUGGGGCUAAUACCCUCGAGGAAGGACAUCACCCACAGAAGAAGCACCGGCUAACUCCGUGCAAGCAGCCGCGGUAAUACGGAGGGUGCGAGCGUUAAUCGGAAUUACUGGGCGUAAAGCGCGCGUAGGCGGUCUGAUAAGCCGGUUGUGAAAGCCCCGGGCUCAACCUGGGAACGGCAUCCGGAACUGUCAGGCUAGAGUGCAGGAGAGGAAGGUAGAAUUCCCGGUGUAGCGGUGAAAUGCGUAGAGAUCGGGAGGAAUACCAGUGGCGAAGGCGGCCUUCUGGACUGACACUGACGCUGAGGUGCGAAAGCGUGGGUAGCAAACAGGAUUAGAUACCCCAGUAGUC
rnacentral:rRNA from 1 species